UGGGAACUUUAUUCUCUCUCCAUGUGCAUGAAAUGAGUGAAAAAUAAAUUCUGUCUUUCUUUUACACACAAGCAGUUUUUCUCAGUGAGAUUUAUCGCAAACUGAGCAUAGGCCACAUGGUCUGAAUGAAUGGGCUUUUCCAUAAUUGCCUUAUUAAUCACAUUUUGUGGUAAAUAAAUAUGUUCAGAACCCUAUAAAUAAAACUAUAAAACCUACAAGGUUCUAAAUAUAUUUAUUAAGCACACAAUGUGAUAAAGGCAAUUAUUGAUAAUCCCACUGUGUAAUUUGAGUUUAGACAAGAAGCACCAAAUAUGGGCAUCUGAAAACUACAGACUGAUGCACAACAGCAGGAGUAAUUUUCUUACAGACAAUGAAUAUUUAAAAUGUUUAUUGCUUUACUUUAUGCUGCAGGGAGGCAUUUUUGAAGAUGAUUUCACAUAAAUCCCAAACGUUGAUGGAUUUCUUGCCUUCCUCCAGGGAUAAUCCACUUCUGACUACUUUCCUCUUCUGGGUGAAUAUGUACCAUGACGAUUAUGUUUUGGAUACUCAGUGGCGCAAUCAUGCUCCCAGUGCACCCCUAUCAGAUCUCAUCAAAAGAGUCUGUAAUAGCUGCACCAGGAGAUGAUGCUAUUCUCCCCUGUACGUUCACUGCAGCUGACAGCCAGAAUAUUACCAACCUAAUCAUUAACUGGCAGCAUCAAGACAAGGUGGUCCACAGCUUCUANUAGAUAGAUAGAUAGAUAGAUAGAUAGAUAGAUAGAUAGAUAGAUAGAUAGAUAGAUAGAUAACCAGUGAUGUCAGUAACGCGUUACUCUAAUCUGACAUUUUUUUCAGUAACGAGUAAUCUAACGCGUUACUAUUUCCAAUCCAGUAAUCAGAUUAAAGUUACUUAUCCUCACACACACACACACGCGCGCGCGCGCGCUCACUUCCCCAAUUACUCCGCUUCGCCCCCGCCAAUCACACGCGUCUCGGACAC
rnacentral:lncRNA from 1 species